ensembl:misc_RNA Metazoa_SRP Metazoan signal recognition particle RNA
GCCAGGCAUGGUGGUGUAUGCCUGUAGUCCCAGCUACUUGGGAGGCUGAGGGGGGAGGAUCACCUGAGCCCAGGGAGGUAGAGGCUGCAGUGAACUGUGAUUGUGCCACUGCACUCCAGCCUGGGCAACAGAGUGAGACCCCAUCUCAA